rnacentral:rRNA from 1 species
CUCGUGAGGCUUGACUAUACAACACCCAAACAGUUGUUGUAUUCAAGAUAAAUUCAAUACAUAACUUGAUUUAGUGUAGAAACUAGUUACAAUACCGACUCAAUUAACUAAUCCGUUAAUAACUCUUUGGACCGUAAGUAAGGCAUACGAUGAAUACAUCGUGAUUAAGACCCGAAAGCACCACAACAGUUUGCUGGCGACAAUAGCAAGAGUGAACCACCUGAUCCCUUCCCGAACUCAGAAGUGAAACCUCUUAGCGCUGAUGGUAGUGUGGCACUUGCCAUGUGAGAGUAAGUCAUCGCCAGCU